CACCUGAUCCCAUUCCGAACUCAGAAGUGAAACGGACCAGCGUCGAUGAUAGUACUACCGCAAGGUAGUGCGAAAGUAGAUCAUCGCCGGGC
rnacentral:rRNA from 1 species